rnacentral:rRNA from 1 species
GCUUUGGCAGGUCGCCUUCUAGGGGCGUUGGCUCCGGCUGACAGCGCCUGCCAGAGGACCCAAACUCGUUUUUUUAGUGUCGUCUGAGUACUAUAUAAUAGUUAAAACUUUCAACAACGGACUCUUGGUUCUGGCAUCGAUGAAGAACGCAGCGAAAUGCGAUAAGUAAUUGAACUGCAGAAUUCAGUGAAUCAUCGAAUCUUUGAACGCACAUUGCGCCCUUGGUAUUCCGAGGGGCAUGCCUGUUCGAGCGUCAUUAUAACCACUCAGUUUCGACUUGGUAUUGGGGUUCGCGGUUUCGCGGCCCUUAAAAUCAGGGCGGUGCCGUCUGGCUCUAAGCGUAGUAAUUCUCUCGCUACAGGGUCCGGUGGUUGCUUGCCAGAAUCCCCCACUUUUAUAGGUUGACCUCGGCUCAGUAGGGCUACCCGAUGAACUUAAGCGAUAUCAAGAAACGGAAGGACCUC